GUGGGGAAUAUUGGGCAAUGGGCGAAAGCCUGACCCAGCAACGCCGCGUGAAGGAAGAAGGUCUUCGGAUCGUAAACUUCUAUCCUUGGUGAAGAUAAUGACGGUAGCCGAGAAGGAAGCCCCGGCUAACUACGUGCCAGCAGCCGCGGUAAUACGUAGGGGGCAAGCGUUGUCCGGAAUGAUUGGGCGUAAAGGGCGCGUAGGCGGCCUGGUAAGUCUGGAGUGAAAGUCCUGCUUUUAAGGUGGGAAUUGCUUUUGAUACUGUCGGGCUUGAGUGCAGGAGAGGUAAGUGGAAUUCCCGGUGUAGCGGUGAAAUGCGUAGAGAUCGGGAGGAACACCAGUGGCGAAGGCGACUUACUGGACUGUAACUGACGCUGAGGCGCGAAAGUGUGGGGAGCAAACAGGAUUAGAUACCCGAGUAGUCC
rnacentral:rRNA from 1 species